UUUUUUUUUUUUUUUUUUUUUUUUUGAGAGAGGGGUCUGGCUCUGUCACCCAGGCUGGAGUAUAGUAGAGCAAUCAUGGCUCACUGUAGCCUCCACCUCCUGGACUCAACCAAUCCUCCCACGUCAGCCUCCUGAGUAGCUGGGACUACAGGCACAUGCCACCAUGCCCAGCUAACUUUUUAAAUCUUAUGCCCAACUAAUUUUUUAAAUCUUUUGUAGAGAUGGAAUCUUGCUAUGUUACCCCAGUUGUGUAAUUUCAAAGCCCAUAUUCUCUCAAAUGUAAUCAUAGUGACCACACAACAAAACAGAUGUUCUGGAAUCAAUGGUGAGCUCCCAGCCAAGGGAGGCAGAAACUGGUAGUCCUGUGAGGGUUCAGGUGGACACUGAGCCACGGCCUGGGUGGCGACAAGGGCAGAUGAAGGAAGACACAGUUCCCUGAGCUGACAGGCAGGGAGGCCAGCUAUCCCAGGGCGUCUGACCAGAGGGCCCCAGCCCCAGGGCCUACAUCUGUUCUGCGUGGCAUGUAUCUGAAUUAAUUCUCAGCAGUUUAUUUAAUUUCUAUACAGCACAGUAUUUACUUUCUAUACAAUCACCCACAAAGCUGUUCAGCGCCUGGAGGCACCAAACAAUAGUUCUCUACAACCACCUCUGAAGGACCAAUUGCCUUUGAGUUUCACACAAAGCUCUCAUUAAAAACUCUUGACUGGAACUAGGUGGUUAGCAAUUUCCAGAGAAAUCUCUGAUAUAUUUACCCUGGAAAGAAAGAAAGAGAGGAAAAAAAAAAAAAAAAAGGUUUUCUAUAAAAUUUACUAAAAUUGUUAAUAAAAACCCUUUGAGUUUACUGAAAACAACUGAGUGACUAAUUCACACCAGGCAUUCUGCUGGAGACUUUCACACUGUGUUCUCAGACCUACUUCUCAGAAAAACCCCAGUUUUGGGCGUAUCUUUGUCCUCAUUUAACUGACAAUCAAACUGAGUGCCAGAGAGGUUAAAUGACUCGCCCAGCGUCAAAAGCCAGUAAGAGGACCAUGCUUCAAACCAAGAUUAAUGAGCUUACACAGGGAAACCC
rnacentral:lncRNA from 1 species